GCCCAGACCACCAGCUAAGGUCCCAAAAUAUAUGUUAAGUGGAAAAGGAUGUGGCGUUGCCCAGACAACUAGGAUGUUGGCUUAGAAGCAGCCAUCAUUUAAAGAGUGCGUAAUAGCUCACUAGUCGAGUGACACUGCGCCGAAAAUGUACCGGGGCUAAACAUAUUACCGAAGCUGUGGAUUGUCCUUUGGACAAUGGUAGGAGAGCGUUCUAAGGGCGUUGAAGCAUGAUCGUAAGGACAUGUGGAGCGCUUAGAAGUGAGAAUGCCGGUGUGAGUAGCGAAAGACGGGUGAGAAUCCCGUCCACCGAUUGACUAAGGUUUCCAGAGGAAGGCUCGUCCGCUCUGGGUUAGUCGGGUCCUAAGCUGAGGCCGACAGGCGUAGGCGAUGGAUAACAGGUUGAUAUUCCUGUACCACCUAUAAUCGUUUUA
rnacentral:rRNA from 1 species